rnacentral:rRNA from 1 species
GUAGGUGGCAAGCGUUAUCCGGAAUCAUUGGGCGUAAAGAGUACGUAGGCGGUCUGUUAAGUUUUUAGUUAAAUUUCAAUGCUCAACAUUGAAACCGCUAAAAAACUGACUGACUUGAGUCCAUCAGAAGAAGGUGGAAUUUGUGGUGGAGUAGUGAUAUGCGUAGAUAUCACAAAGAACACCAAUGGCGAAGGCAGCCUUCUAGGAUGGUACUGACGCUGAGGUACGAAAGCGUGGGUAGCGAACAGGGAUUAGAUACCCUGGUAGUCCACGCCGUAAACGAUGGGUACUAGAUGUUUGGUGUAUCGACCCCACUGAGCAUCGUAGUUAACACGUUAAGUACCCCGCCUGGGGGAGUACGACCGCAAGGUUA